GGUUCCUUCCCCAAGCUCUUCCUCUCUCUGCUUUCCUUCUUCCUUCUUCCAGAACCCACGCCGUCAAUCUCUUUCUUUCUACAUCUAUUUGCUUCAGCCGCCACCUUGCCCUUUCUUUUCUUUUUCCUCUCAAAGCUCCUCCUCUCCGUUUUUCUGGUUUCUUUCCUUAGCCCACCGAAGCCUCAGCUCUCCCAUUGCUCUCCCCUCUGUCCAGUUUUGCUCCCGUUUUUUCUUUCCGCUCCCGUUAGCUGCAAAACUCUCCCCACGAUGAAGCUCUCCUUGCGGCUGAUGUCUUCUUUCCUUUUUGUACCAUCUCCCAAUCCCCUAAACCUGCUCUCAAUGGCCAGCAAUCAACCUCCUCUCAGCCCCUUAUCUUAGCCAUCCGAUGGGCAUUGAGGUUGUGCCUCGCAUGCUGCAAAAAAAAAAAUGCAGCGUGCAUGCUGCGGUAAUCUCUUUUUUUUUUUUUUAUAAAAAGAAUGCAUAUAAAUGAUAAUAA
rnacentral:lncRNA from 1 species